rnacentral:tRNA from 1 species
UGCAUCGUAGUUCAGUGGUAGAUCAUUAGGGCUUUCCUGAGAGUCGUAGGUUCGAUUCCUGCCGGUGCAA